rnacentral:rRNA from 1 species
GACGAACGCUGGCGGCGUGCCUAACACAUGCAAGUCGAACGAACAGACGAGGCGCUUGCUCCUCUGACGUUAGCGGCGGACGGGUGAGUAACAUGUGUAUAACCUACCUAUAAGACUGGGAUAAUUACGGGAAACCGGAUCUAAUACCGGAUAAUAUAUUGCACCGCAUGGUUCAAUAGUGAGAUUCGGUUUUUCUGUCUGUAAUAGAUGGUUACGCGCCGUAUUAGGUGGUUGUUAAGGUAAUGGCAUACCAAGGCGAGGAUGGGUAGCCGACCUGAGAGGGUGAUCGGCCACACGGGAAGUGAGACACGGACCAGACUCCUGCGGGAGGAAGCAGUCGGGAAUCUUACGCAAUGGGCGAGAGCCUGACGGAGCAACGCGGAGUGAGUGAUGAAGGUCCUCGGAGCGGAAAGCUCUGUUAUUAGGGGAGAACAAAUGUGUAAGUAACUGUGCAGGUAUUGACGGUACCUGGUCAAAAAGCCACGGCUAACUACGUG